rnacentral:rRNA from 1 species
AGCUCCAAUAGUAUAUAUUAGUGUUGUUGCAGUUAAAGCGCUCGUAGUUGGAUUUUGGAAUGAUUUGUCUGGUCCGCCGAAAGGUGUGUACUGGGCUGAAUUGUUCUUCCUUCUGAAGAGAUGCCAUGUUCUUAAUUGGGCGUGGUAUGGAUUCAGGACUUUUACUUUGAAAAAAUUAGAGUGUUCAAAGCAGGCUAUCGCUUGAAUACAUUAGCAUGGAAUAAUAAAAUAGGACUUUGGUUCUAUUUUGUUGGUUUCUAGGACCGAAGUAAUGAUUAAUAGGGAUAGUUGGGGGCAUUAGUAUUUAAUUGUCAGAGGUGAAAUUCUUGGAUUUAUGAAAGACUAACUUCUGCGAAAGCAUUUGCCAAGGAUGUUUUCAUUAAUCAAGAACGAAAGUAGG